rnacentral:rRNA from 1 species
UGAGUUUGAUCAUGGCUCAGAUUGAACGCUGGCGGCAGGCUUAACACAUGCAAGUCGAGCGGAGUGAUGGUGCUUGCACUAUCACUUAGCGGCGGACGGGUGAGUAAUGCUUAGGAAUCUGCCAUUUAGUGGGGGACAACAUUCCGAAAGGAAUGCUAAUACCGCAUACGUCCUACGGGAGAAAGCAGGGGAUCUUCGGACCUUGCGCUAAAUGAUGAGCCUAAGUCGGAUUAGCUAGUUGGUGGGGUAAAGGCCUACCAAGGCGACGAUCUGUAGCGGGUCUGAGAGGAUGAUCCGCCACACUGGGACUGAGACACGGCCCAGACUCCUACGGGAGGCAGCAGUGGGGAAUAUUGGACAAUGGGCGGAAGCCUGAUCCAGCCAUGCCGCGUGUGUGAAGAAGGCCUUUUGGUUGUAAAGCACUUUAAGCGAGGAGGAGGCUACUAGUACUAAUACUACUGGAUAGUGGACGUUACUCGCAGAAUAAGCACCGGCUAACUCUGUGCCAGCAGCCGCGGUAAUACAGAGGGUGCGAGCGUUAAUCGGAUUUACUGGGCGUAAAGCGUGCGUAGGCGGCUUUUUAAGUCGGAUGUGAAAUCCCCGAGCUUAACUGGGAAUUGCAUUCGAUACUGGGAAGCUAGAGUAUGGGAGAGGAUGGUAGAAUUCCAGGUGUAGCGGUGAAAUGCGUAGAGAUCUGGAGGAAUACCGAUGGCGAAGGCAGCCAUCUGGCCUAAUACUGACGCUGAGGUACGAAAGCAUGGGGAGCAAACAGGAUUAGAUACCCUGGUAGUCCAUGCCGUAAACGAUGUCUACUAGCCGUUGGGGCCUUUGAGGCUUUAGUGGCGCAGCUAACGCGAUAAGUAGACCGCCUGGGGAGUACGGUCGCAAGACUAAAACUCAAAUGAAUUGACGGGGGCCCGCACAAGCGGUGGAGCAUGUGGUUUAAUUCGAUGCAACGCGAAGAACCUUACCUGGUCCUGACAUAGUAAGAACUUUCCAGAGAUGGAUUGGUGCCUUCGGGAACUUACAUACAGGUGCUGCAUGGCUGUCGUCAGCUCGUGUCGUGAGAUGUUGGGUUAAGUCCCGCAACGAGCGCAACCCUUUUCCUUAUUUGCCAGCGGGUUAAGCCGGGAACUUUAAGGAUACUGCCAGUGACAAACUGGAGGAAGGCGGGGACGACGUCAAGUCAUCAUGGCCCUUACGACCAGGGCUACACACGUGCUACAAUGGUCGGUACAAAGGGUUGCUACCUAGCGAUAGGAUGCUAAUCUCAAAAAGCCGAUCGUAGUCCGGAUUGGAGUCUGCAACUCGACUCCAUGAAGUCGGAAUCGCUAGUAACCGCGGAUCAGAAUGCCGCGGUGAAUACGUUCCCGGGCCUUGUACACACCGCCCGUCACACCAUGGGAGUUUGUUGCACCAGAAGUAGGUAGUCUAACCGUAAGGAGGACGCUUACCACGGUGUGGCCGAUGACUGGGGUGAAGUCGUAACAAGGAACCAA